rnacentral:rRNA from 1 species
AUUGAACGCUGGCGGCAGGCCUAACACAUGCAAGUCGAGCGAGCGGCGGACGGGUGAGUAAUGUCUGGGAAACUGCCUGAUGGAGGGGGAUAACUACUGGAAACGGUAGCUAAUACCGCAUACCAUCAGAUGUGCCCAGAUGGGAUUAGCUAGUAGGUGGGGUAAUGGCUCACCUAGGCGACGAUCCCUAGCUGGUCUGAGAGGAUGACCAGCCACACUGGAACUGAGACACGGUCCAGACUCCUACGGGAGGCAGCAGUGGGGAGUAUGGCGCAAUGGGGGGAAGCCUGAUGCAGCCAUGCCGCGUGUGUGAGGAAGGCAUUCGGGUGGUAAAGCACUUUCAGCGAGGAGGCGUUACUCGCAGAGGAAGCACCGGCUAAAUCCGUGCCAGCCGCCGCGGUAAUUC